GUAGGCAAUAGGCUACUACCUUACUCGCAAGUGUGGUGGUGAAACUGAGAAUCGCUGCAUUCACUGUUUCCAUCGGCCAGCCCACUGUGGCAUGAUUGGCACCUCGGCAGACCAAUGAGCGGCGCCGUUAAACACAUCCAGGCCGAUCGCCGGGCGUAGCGUCUUUUCAAGGACCCCCACACGCUGUGCCUUCCUACAGAAGCCCGAGCGGGAGGGCGCUGGGCGCUUCAGACUCGCCUGUCCCGCCUUCGCAGCCCGUCACUGUGUGGCGAUGAAGACAGAAACACGCUCGCUGACAGGUGGUACGUUUUACCGCCGCUGCACCGCGGCGCUCUGCCUGACCUGUCAGUGAGGAGGCUUUUUAUCGCCUGAAAUGACUUCGCACAGGAUCUGAGGUAAAGAAACUUUCCAUCUGAGAGAGGUAUCGGUGUGCUGUAGGGCUCGGGAUCACACAACUCUGACUCGCUCCCCGCAACCAUGUACAUGGCCAGAGGAAUACGUAUCGUUCUGCCGUUUUGUCGCUCACUUCUGUUACUAGAAAGGCAUCUCAUUGGCGCCCCCCUUCUGGUGAUUUGCUAGUAAUGCAGGCUGUUUACCCAGCACUGCGUGGAAAAAAACGAUGAAACUAUCAACAAUAUUUUAUCACUAUUUGUAGUCAUUAUUAUUAUUCUGACUGUACUUCUUAAAUCAGCAAAACUUCAGUUUUGUCAUUGUAAUAAUUACCUUGCCACCCAACUCGGUGAGGCACAGUUGCAACCUUGAAACAGAGAAUGUUUCAGACCUCCCUACGAACGUUUAAAAAAUAGUACAGCAAUAACAGUUAACCUCUCUGCUUGUCUUUUCGGGGGCCGAUUGAUUUUGUAAUGAGUGCUUAAAUGACAUGCAAAUUCCUGCAUCUACCUGGCAAAAUUAAAGGCUUGGCAGUAAUCUGGAAAUGAGGUACAUAUUUUAGCCUGCUCCCAGUUGCACCUGUUCAUGAUUCAGCACCCUUUGGCCCCUCCCCCUUUACUUUAAUCUUAAAUGAUUGUCUGCUUUGCAUCCCCCCACCCAGAAUGUGCAUCCCAGCACCACCAUCUCUACUCUACCAACAGAAAGAUGGUGCUCUUCUCAUCCCACAGCCUGCAACCCAUUCCUCACAGGGAAAUGGGAUGUACUGACAACCUCGCUGCCAUUGAAUAAAAGAAAGUUCCAGAAGCACAUUAGCUAGGCCCAACUGCUGACCAACUGCUGGGCCCCUGAGCAAGGCCUGCAACCCAACUGCUGAACAACUGCUAGGCCCCUGAGCAAGGCCUGCAACCCAACUGCUGAACAACUGCUAGGCCCCUGAGCAAGGCCUGCAACCCAACUGCUGAACAACUGCUAGGCCCCUAAGCAAGGCCCUCAACCCAACUGCUGACUAACUGCUGGGUGCCUUUGCUAGGCCCCCAGCCCCAAGUGCUCCUGGGACAUUGGGCCACCUUGUUCUUUGAUCCACACUUAUGCAUAACUCUAGAUAAAAGUGUCUGUAAUAAAUGCUAAUUUGGGUGCUAAAGCUUUAAACCUUCUAUGACAUUAUACUCGUUCCCUAAAUACCUGCUGUGAGUCUCCCAAAUCUGCUUUAGGUGUGACAGUUUAGUUCGAUUGCGCAAUAUAAUUACAAUUUUAUAAGGUCUGCAUUCAUAUGAAGGUUGCUUAAUUAUAUAAAUUCAUAGUAAAUACAUUGUUUAACCAAUAGGUAAAAAAAGAAACAUUUAUUGUAAAAAAAAAAUGCAGCUCUUUUGAAGAAGUUUGACCAAAGUUUGCAACUAUGCCUGCACUGUGACGUUUCGCACGACGCUACUGGUCAUGACCAUGAGGGCACACAGUGCUUACGGAGGCCAGCAUACAUGCCCAGGGCGGGACGACCCAGGAGGGGAUCAGAUUACCACCCAAGACUGGCUCCCGCUCCAAGUCACAGCCAGCAUGCAUGACCUCAGGCUGAGGAAGCUGAUGUUGCUGUGGACAUCAUGCCUGCCUUGUAUCAGUACUUAUU